GACGAACGUUGGCGGCGUGCUUAAUACAUGCAAGUCAACUGAAGCAGUGGUAGCAAUAUCGCUGUGGAGGUGGCGCACGGGUGAGUAACACGCAGGUAAUCUGCCUUCAGGUCUGGCAUAACUCCGGGAAACCGGGGCUAAUAGCAGAUGAUGCAGCGGCUCGACAUCGAGACAGUUGUUAAAGCUAUGGCGCCUGAAGAUGAGCCUGCGUCUGAUUAGCUAGUUGGCGGGGUAACGGCCCACCAAGGCAACGAUCAGUAGCUGGUCUGAGAGGAUGAUCAGCCACACUGGAACUGAGACACGGUCCAGACUCCUACGGGAGGCAGCAGUAAGGAAUAUUGCUCAAUGGGAGAAAUCCUGAAGCAGCAACGCCGCGUGAGGGACGAAGGGCUUUUGCUUGUAAACCUCUGUAGUGAGAGGAAAAAAUCCCAAUCUUUGGGACAUGAUGGUAUCUCAAAAGUAAGCCCCGGCUAACUACGUG
rnacentral:rRNA from 1 species